CCCUUAGAUGUUCUGGGCCGCACGCGUGCUGCACUGAGUGGAUCAGCGGGUCAGGUUGCGCGAAAGCGUUUUCUAAUCUUUAAAUCCGCUCGUGAUGGGGAUUGACGGUUGCAAUUUUCUGUCAUGAACGAGGAAUACCUUGUAAGCGCGGGUCAUCAUCCCGCGCUGAAUACGUCCCUGCCCUUUGUACACACCGCCCGUCGCUCCUACCGAUUGAGUGGUCCGGUGAGGCUUUGGGAUCUGAGCGGAAAGAGCGUUUCGCUGUUUCUGCUCGGAAAACUCAGUCGAACCUUAUCAUUUAGAGGAAGGAGAAGUCGUAACA
rnacentral:rRNA from 1 species